CGGCUCCGAAUGCAUCUAGAUUUUUAGUUUGAUCAUGGCUCAGAUUGAACGCUGGCUGUGCAAGCCUAACACAUGCAAGUCGAACGGUAACAGGAAGCAGCUUGCUGCUUUGCUGACGAGUGGCGGACGGGUGAGUAAUGUCUGGGAAACUGCCUGAUGGAGGGGGAUAACUACUGGAAACGGUAGCUAAUACCGCAUAACGUCGCAAGACCAAAGAGGGGGACCUUCGGGCCUCUUGCCAUCGGAUGUGCCCAGAUGGGAUUAGCUAGUAGUGGGGUAACGGCUCACCUAGGCGACGAUCCCUAGCUGGUCUGAGAGGAUGUCCAGCCACACUGGAACUGAGACACGGUCCAGACUCCUACGGGAGGCAGCAGUGGGGAAUAUUGCACAAUGGGCGCAAGCCUGAUGCAGCCAUGCCGCGUGUAUGAAGAAGGCCUUCGGGUUGUAAAGUACUUUCAGCGGGGAGGAAGGUGUUGAGGUUAAUAACCUCAGCAAUUGACGUUAACCGCAGAAGAAGCACCGGCUAACUCCGUGCCAGCAGCCGCGGGUUAAAUUACCGGGGAGGGGUUGCANAGCGGUUUUACAUCCCGGGAAAUUUNNCUUGGGGCGGUUAAAGGCCGCCACCGCCAGGCGGGGUCUUGUUCCC
rnacentral:rRNA from 1 species